GGGCUGCCCGGAGAGGCUGAGCAAGAAGGCUGCCCUGAGAGCAGCCGCUGCCCAGCAGCUGAUAGGAUACAUGAUGGACAAUUGAAGCCAGAGAAGAGCAGGAGGCUUGGAACGCCCGCCCUGCUACAACUAUCACAGGCAGAAAAAGAGAUAUUUGACCCCAUCUAUUAGUGGCUGUCAUAUACCUCCCACAAAGAAAACAUACAGCUGCGGCAUGCUUUACAGGGUGGAGAACUACAGAGUACAUAAAAUUACACCUCCGCCAGAAGCAAGAGGCUUCAAAGGGAUUCCAGCUGGUGCACAAAUGAAGAAAAACAAAAUAAGUAUGUUAACGAUUUCUACCAGAAAGAAGACGUGUUUAUGCCAACAUACGAUCAGGUCGAUCCCCACUAAACACCAAAUCGCUAAACUGUUUUUAAAUUCUCUGUGGGGUAAAUUUGGCCAAAGAACAAACCUACCCAACACCAGCAUCAUGAGAAACCCUGAAGAAUUCUUUCAGUACCUGUUUUCCCCCCAAUUAUGAGGUUUCAUCCUGUGAGUUUAUCGACGAUGAAACAGCGUGUGUGUCUUGGAAACAUGCAAAAGACCAGUACUCUGUCUCUGGUAAUACCAACGUCUUCAUAGCCUGUUUUACCACCGCUUAUGCCCGCUUAGAACUAUACAACCUCCUAGACAGGUUGCCUGUACCCGACACUGACUCAGUGGUAUUUGCGAAAAGGGUGACUGGAAUCCCCCUCUGGGGGAUUAUUUAGGGGACCUCACGAGCGAGAUCCGGCCGGAUCAACACAUCACUGAGUUUGUGUCGGCAGGCACGAAAACAUACGGGUAUAAGCUGUCAGGUGGAAAGGCCUGUAUGAAAGUCAAAGGUAUUACCCUAAACGUAGCAAAGUGUGAAAAGAUUAACUUUGACAGUUUGAAAGAUCUAAUCCUGGACAAUUGCACGAGCCUGCAAGAAAACACCUCAAAAAAGAUAACUCUGUAUCGUAAGGAACACAAAUCAGCGGCAAAUAGAGACAAAAACCUUAAGAAAACACAGAAAGUUGUUUACAACAAGAGGGUCCUAGGAGAAGGGUUUAAAACCCUGCCGUUUAAAAACGGCUUUUAAAAAUGGAUACGAGGUGAAAACACUCCUUUUCUACAAUUCUCGCGGGGCCUAGCAACUGCGGCAAAAGUUACUUUAUAAAAAAUGUGUUGGAUAACGCCAAACAGACAUUGUCUUUUCUGCCUGAGAAUAUUGUGUGAUGUUACAGUUGUUGGCAACCUCUGUAUAAAGAACUGCUCUGUAAAUGUCCCUUGAUCAAUUUUGAGGAGGGGCUGCCUGAUGCUUUGGACGAUGUCCGUUUGUUUCCUACUAAUAAAGUAAAUAUGAUUAUCAUAGAUGAUCUGAUGAACUCUGCUUUUGAAAGCGAUGAAAUCAAAAAAGCCUUUACCAAGUACGUGCAUCACAGAAACCUGAGCAUUAUGUAUAUACUUCAAAACAUAUUUUGUCAGGGAAAAAAGAGUCGCACAAUAACCUAAACACAAAGUACAUGGUUCUGUUCAAAAACCCCCGGGCUAAAUUACAAAU